rnacentral:rRNA from 1 species
AACGAACGCUGGCGGCAUGCCUAACACAUGCAAGUCGAACGAGCCCUUCGGGUCUAUUCUCCCCCGGGUGUGUAAGGCGUGGGAAUCUGCCCUUGUGUUCGGCCUAACUGUUGGAAUCGACUGAUAAUACCGGAUGAUGACGUAAAUCCAAAGAUUUAUCGCCCAGGGAUGAGCCCGCGUAGCAUUCGCUCGUUCCUGGGGUAAAGGCUUACCAAGGCGUCGAUCCUUAGCUGGUUUGAGAGAAUGAUCAGCCACACUGGGACUGAGACGCGGCCGAGACUCCUACGGGAGGCAGCAGUGGGGAAUAUUGGACAGUGGGGGAAGGGAUGAAGCAGUAAUGCCGCGUGAGUGAUGAAGGCCUUAGGGUUGUAAAGCGCUUUUACCCGGGAUGAUAAUGACAGUACCGGGAGAAAAAGCCCCGGCUAACUCCGUG